CUGGCUAUCCUUCGACGGCUCCUCUAUCCUCGUUCUCGAUUUCUUUCGCUCCUCUUUGUUCUUAUUCUCUGUCAUUGCCUCGUCCUGCGUGCACUUCUCUUCUGAAAAUUUGUUAAAUGACAAUUAUUACGAUUACGGCAAAUUGCGGAUACAAAGACUUCGACAAGCAUUGUAGAAUUUCUUUCGAUUUUCUUGGAAGCUUAGAAUAGGAAAAAGAAGUAUUAGGCGUGGACAUAAAUGACUCAGAAUUACUUAUAAACAAUUAAAUGCAGUGGCUCGCGAAAGUAUUCGAUUAUACUUGUCGAUACCUUCUAUAAACAUAUUAUGUGUGUUACACGAAACAUUUU